CCUACGGGAGGCUGCAGUGGGGAAUAUUGCACAAUGGGGGAAACCCUGAUGCAGCGACGCCGCGUGAGUGAAGAAGUAUCUCGGUAUGUUAAGCCCCAUCAGCAGGAAAGCAAAUGACGGUACCUGACCAAGAAGCACUGGCUAACUACGAGCCAGAUGCCGCGGUACUGCGGAGGGGGCCACGGUUAUCCGGAUUUACUGGGUGUAAAGGGGGCGUAGACGGCGCUACAAGUCCGGAGUGAAAGGCCAGGGCUUAACCAUGGUACUGCUGUGGAAACUGGAGAGCUUGAGUGCGGGAGGGGCAGGCGGAAUGCGUGGUGUAGCGGUGAAAUGCGUAGAUAUUAGGAGGAACACCGGCGGCGAAGGCGGCCUGCUGGACCGUAACUGACGUUGAGGCACGAAAGCGUGGGGAGCGAACAGGAUUAGAUACCCCGGUAGUC
rnacentral:rRNA from 1 species